rnacentral:rRNA from 1 species
CCUACGGGAGGCAGCAGUGGGGAAUAUUGGACAAUGGGCGAAAGCCUGAUCCAGCCAUGCCGCGUGUGUGAAGAAGGCCUUCGGGUUGUAAAGCACUUUCAGUGGGGAAGAAAGCCUUGGGCUAAUACCCUCGAGGAAGGACAUCACCCACAGAAGAAGCACCGGCUAACUCCGUGCCAGCAGCCGCGGUAAUACGGAGGGUGCGAGCGUUAAUCGGAAUUACUGGGCGUAAAGCGCGCGUAGGCGGUCUGAUAAGCCGGUUGUGAAAGCCCCGGGCUCAACCUGGGAACGGCAUCCGGAACUGUCAGGCUAGAGUGCAGGAGAGGAAGGUAGAAUUCCCGGUGUAGCGGUGAAAUGCGUAGAGAUCGGGAGGAAUACCAGUGGCGAAGGCGGCCUUCUGGACUGACACUGACGCUGAGGUGCGAAAGCGUGGGUAGCAAACAGGAUUAGAUACCCUAGUAGUC